rnacentral:rRNA from 1 species
UGGGAACGUACCUCUUGGUUCGGAACAACACAGGGAAACUUGUGCUAAUACCGGAUAAGCCCUUACGGGGAAAGAUUUAUCGCCGAGAGAUCGGCCCGCGUCUGAUUAGCUAGUUGGUGAGGUAACGGCUCACCAAGGCGACGAUCAGUAGCUGGUCUGAGAGGAUGAUUAGCCACACUGGGACUGAGACACGGCCCAGACUCCUACGGGAGGCAG